UAUAUAUUGACCCCAUACAGGUAUGAUAUAUAUUGACCCCAUACAGGUAGGAUAUAUAUUGACCCCAUACAGGUAGGAUAUAUAUUGACCCCAUACAGGUAGGAUUUAUAUUGACCCCAUACAGGUAGGAUAUAUAUUGACCCCAUACAGGUAGGAUUUAUAUUGACCCCAUAUAGGACCAGCUACACAGAGCACAGCCUUCAGCCAUACAGGUAGGAUAUAUAUUGACCCCAUACAGGUAGGAUAUAUAUUGACCCCAUACAGGUAGGAUAUAUAUUGACCCCAUACAGGUAUGAUAUAUAUUGACCCCAUACAGGUAGGAUAUAUAUUGACCCCAUACAGGUAGGAUUUAUAUUGACCCCAUAUAGGACCAGCUACACAGAGCACAGCGUUCAGCCAUACAGGUAGGAUUUAUAUUGACCCCAUAUAGGACCAGCAACACAGAGCACAGCGUUCAGCCAUACAGGUAGGAUAUAUAUUGACCCCAUACAGGUAGGAUUUAUAUUGACCCCAUAUAGGACCAGCUACACAGAGCACAGCCUUCAGCCAUACAGGUAUGAUAUAUAUUGACCCCAUACAGGUAGGAUAUAUAUUGACCCCAUACAGGUAGGAUAUAUAUUGACCCUGUACAGGUAGGAUAUAUAUUGACCCCAUACAGGUAGGAUAUAUAUUGACCCCAUACAGGUAGGAUUUAUAUUGACCCCAUACAGGUAGGAUUUAUAUUGACCCCA